UUGGAAACAUUAUGGAGUGCUAAAAGCUUAUGCUAAUGUGUUCUUUCAUUUUAAUUUCCUUUCAGAUAUUCUUUUUCCUCUCCAUCGCAAGAGGGCCAGGGUUUCAGUUACGAAAAGCAAGUGAAUUCAGCAUCACAGUUGAAUCUCAAGAAUACAGGAGAGCAAAGAUGCAUCAAGCGGUCCAUCAGACACUGUCCAGCACCUAUCCAUGGCAAAACACCAGCAGCUGGGGAUUCUGGGGGAUUAUCUAAGUCUGCUGGGAACCCUGUUGAAAGAUGACAUGAAUUGUUGCAGUCUGGAUUGAGUCUUUUCUGCUCCUCAGCUAAAGCCUUGGCCUCCAUGGUGUACAUUCUCCUCUCCUCACUCUUCAUCUUCUUCCACUUGUCACCCAGAAUGACACUGAUGGCUCUGGAGACAAAAGAUCAAGGACUUGCCUUAUUCAGAUUAUUGUCUUUACAUGAUUUGUCUAACUUUGUUUUACACUUUAUCUUUGAAAAAAUGAACACAGCUUGCAUUUUUUUCUUGCUCCUCUUUAAAAUUAAUACAAAGUUUUCAUAUCAGAAUAUGAAACUGGGAACUGGGAAAUAAAGAAUUAACUUGCAAAUUGAA